GACAGAGGUGCAAACGUUGUUCGGAAUUACUGGGCGUAAAGCGAGUGUAGGCGGUUUGGUAAGUCGGAUGUGAAAGCCCCGGGCUCAACCCGGGAAGUGCACUCGAUACUGCCAAGCUAGAGUAUCGGAGAGGUUGGUGGAAUUCUCGGUGUAGAGGUGAAAUUCGUAGAUAUCGAGAGGAACACCGGUGGCGAAGGCGGGUCUCUGGGCCGAUAUCGACGCUGGAGGAGCGAAAGCGUGGGGAGCGAACAGG
rnacentral:rRNA from 1 species